rnacentral:tRNA from 1 species
GGUGCAUAGCUCAGCUGGAUAGAGCAACGCCCUUCUAAGGCGUACCUGACUUUUAAUCAGGGUGUCCCGCGUUCGAGUCGCGGAUAGAUCACCA